GUAGGGAAUAUUGCACAAUGGGGGAAACCCUGAUGCAGCGACGCCGCGUGAGUGAUGAAGGCCUUCGGGUCGUAAAGCUCUGUCGUAUGGGACUAACACAAUGAAGGUACCAUGCAAGAAAGGAUCGGCUAACUUCGUGCCAGCAGCCGCGGUAAGACGAGGGAUCCUAGCGUUGUUCGGAAUCAUUGGGCGUAAAGCGGGUGUAGGCGGAUUUAUCAGUCAGGUGUGAAAUCCCAGGGCUCAACCCUGGAAGUGCACUUGAUACUGUAAAUCUUGAGUGUGGUAGAGGUUACUGGAAUUGUUGGUGUAGUGGUGAAAUACGUAGAUAUCAACAGGAAUACCGGAGGCGAAGGCGAGUAACUGGGCCAACACUGACGCUGAGACCCGAAAGCGUGGGGAUCAAACAGGAUUAGAAACCCUAGUAGUCC
rnacentral:rRNA from 1 species